GGGAACAUACCCUUUUCUACGGAAUAGCUCUGGGAAACUGGAAUUAAUACCGUAUACGCCCUACGGGGGAAAGAUUUAUCGGGGAAGGAUUGGCCCGCGUUGGAUUAGCUAGUUGGUAGGGUAAAGGCCUACCAAGGCGACGAUCCAUAGCUGGUCUGAGAGGAUGAUCAGCCACAUUGGGACUGAGACACGGCCCAAACUCCUACGGGAGGCAGCAGUGGGGAAUAUUGGACAAUGGGCGCAAGCCUGAUCCAGCCAUGCCGCGUGAGUGAUGAAGGCCUUAGGGUUGUAAAGCUCUUUCACCGAUGAAGAUAAUGACGGUAGUCGGAGAAGAAGCCCCGGCUAACUUCGUGCCAGCAGCCGCGGUAAUACGAAGGGGGCUAGCGUUGUUCGGAAUUACUGGGCGUAAAGCGCACGUAGGCGGAUAUUUAAGUCAGGGGUGAAAUCCCAGAGCUCAACUCUGGAACUGCCUUUGAUACUGGGUAUCUUGAGUAUGGAAGAGGUAAGUGGAAUUGCGAGU
rnacentral:rRNA from 1 species